GACGAACGCUGGCGGCGUGCUUAACACAUGCAAGUCGAACGGAAAGGCCCUGCUUUUGUGGGGUGCUCGAGUGGCGAACGGGUGAGUAACACGUGAGUAACCUGCCCUUGACUUUGGUAUAACUUCAGGAAACUGGGGCUAAUACCGGAUAGGAGCUCCUGCAGCAUGGUGGGGGUUGGAAAGUUUCGGCGGUUGGGGAUGGACUCGCGGCUGAUGAGCUUGUUGGUGGGGUAGUGGCUUACCAAGGCUUUGACGGGUAGCCGGCCUGGGAGGGUGACCGGCCACAUUGGGACUGCGGUACGGCCCAGACUCCUACGGGAGGCAGCAGUGGGGAAUAUUGCCCAAUGGGAGGAAGCCUGAUGCAGCAACGCCGCGUGCGGGAUGACGGCCUUCGGGUUGUAAACCGCUUCCGCCUGUGACGAAGCGUUAGUGACGGUAAUGGGUAAAGAAGCACCGGCUAACUACGUG
rnacentral:rRNA from 1 species